rnacentral:rRNA from 1 species
CCUUUGUACACACCGCCCGUCGCUACUACCGAUUGAAUGGCUCAGUGAGGCUUUCGGACUGGCCCAGGGAGAGUGGCAACGCUCGCCCAGGGCCGGAAAGUUGUCCAAACUUGGUCAUUUAGAGG